UCAGACGAUGCGUCAUGCAUAUCAAUAAGCGGAGGAAAAGAAACUAACAAGGAUUCCCCUAGUAACGGCGAGUGAAGCGGGAAGAGCUCAAAUUUGAAAUCUUAAAGGGCUUCCCUUUACGAAUUGUAGUUUAAAGAAGUGUUUUCUGUUGAGGUUUUGGUAAAAGUUCUUUGGAAUAGGACAUCAUAGAGGGUGAGAAUCCCGUAUUUGACCUUUACUUUCAACUUUGUGAUACACUUUCAAAGAGUCGGAUUGUUUGGGAAUGCAGUCCAAAAUGGGUGGUAAAUUUCAUCUAAAGCUAAAUAUUGGCGAGAGACCGAUAGCGAACAAGUACCGUGAGGGAAAGAUGAAAAGAACUUUGAAAAGAGAGUUAAACAGUACGUGAAAUUGUCAAAAGGGAAGCGUUUGACACCAGUGUUGUUUUUCUGAAAAUCAAUUAAAGAACUGUUUAUGCUAAGUUGUUUAGACUUUAUCAGCUAACUGUUUAGUUUUGAGCUUUUCUUUAAUGCACUUUUCAGUUAACAAGUCAACAUCAAUUUCUUUUGCUGUAAAAAAGCUUGAGGAAGGUGGCUUGAGAUUCGUCUUAAGUGUUUAUAGCCUCUUGCCUAUGCAGUCGGAGAGAUUGAGGUCUGCAGCGUAGAUCCUUCGGGGCUAAAUGCAUUUGUGCUAAGUUAUAGCAUUUCAUAGACAACUUGUUGACUAUGAUUUGUCUUGUAGCUUACUCGCUUAUGUUAUUUUACCUACGCUUAGGAUGUUGAAUCUGUGCGAGACUAC
rnacentral:rRNA from 1 species